UGCGCUGCGGCAGCUCGCUUUCCCUGCCCGACGGUUCCUGCGCCGUUGCCUCCACCUCUCCCCCCGUGCCCCCUUCGCCACGACCUGAUCCCGGCGCCCACCCCCGCCGUCGCUGCGGUGCAAGGGGCCGCCGCCGUCUUGCUGAGCCUUCUCCCACGACCCGGCCCCGGCGCCCAUGUAGUCCUCGCUGCGGUCCAGGACCCGACGCCGCUGGUGUAGGGGGCCGCCGCCGGGGUGCGAGUGCAGAGGGCCGCCGCCGUCGCAGGUCCAGGUCCCCCAACCGUAGGUUCACGGUGUGCCGCAGCAGGUUCAGGGGCUGUCCCGCCGUCGCAACAGAUCCGCGGCUUUUGCACAUGCUCUUGAGAACAUUUAUCCAAGCACCAAGAGCACAUGGACUUGGACUCUGCUAAAUCCACUGAGGAGAACGACAAGAUCAUGUAACAGGACUACAAAACUUGGCCAGGUCAUUAUCUGCAAAGCAAUUUGGUUUGCAUCAUUAUGAACUAUUGAAAAUUUGGAAACUUUCUGCUAUCAAGGAAACCACCAUCCAUUUUUCACCUUUCUAUCUCGUACAGUGAAAUAGGUUGAUAUGAUCAAUGGCCGAAUUCUUAUUUGGAUGCAUUUGUGAAUGGAUGAAGAAAUAAUGAAUUUCAAGAUUUCACAAUACUUAUAUAAUAGAAUUUUUCUUUCCAAGUACAGAUUGUGUACUCUUUGCUACAAUGUAUAUUUACUCUCUACAAUUAUUCUUAUAUAUACACAUUAUCACAGUAUGUAUACUUUGUACAUUUGUUCCCCUUCUGCAUUCUAGUGAUUGUUGAAAAUUGUGGUU